UGGUGGAGCGAUUUGUCUGGUCAAUUCCGAUAACGAACGAGACUCUAGCCUACUAAAUAGUUCGGGGGACCCCCCGACCAAAAGGGGGCCCCCGGCCUUCAACUUCUUAGAGGGACAGGUGGCGUUUAGCCACACGAGAUUGAGCAAUAACA
rnacentral:rRNA from 1 species